rnacentral:lncRNA from 1 species
UUCACAGAGGUAAACGCAUAUUCACUCUAGAUCAUUAUUGUGUUAUAUGAUCAUUUGGCUGUAUUUACCGCAAAUUUAUAAGGUUAUAGUUGUCAUCAUACCAAGACAUUUAAUUCUCAUAAAUAAUUGAUAUGCAACAGACAUUGCACAUGUUGAAACAUAGAACCAAGUAUCCUUCUUAGUUUAACCCCCCCCCCCCCACCAAAAAACAAACAAACCCCAAAACAACCAAAAACCAA